rnacentral:rRNA from 1 species
UGUAAUUCAACAACGGAUCUCUUGGUUCUGGCAUCGAUGAAGAACGCAGC